GAAAUGCGAUAAGUAAUGUGAAUUGCAGAAUUCAGUGAAUCAUCGAAUCUUUGAACGCACAUUGCGCCCGCCAGUAUUCUGGCGGGCAUGCCUGUUCGAGCGUCAUUUCAACCAUCAAGCCCCCCGGGCUUGUGUUGGGGACCUGCGGCUGCCGCAGGCCCUGAAAACCAGUGGCGGGCUCGCUGUCACACCGAGCGUAGUAGCAUACACCUCGCUCAGGGCGUGCUGCGGGUUCCGGCCGUUAAACCCCCCAAAACCCCAAAGGUUGACCUCGGAUCAGGUAGGAAGACCCGCUGAACUUAA
rnacentral:misc_RNA from 1 species